UACGUAGGGUGCGAGCGUUAAUCGGAAUUACUGGGCGUAAAGCGUGCGCAGGCGGUUUUGUAAGCCAGAUGUGAAAUCCCCGGGCUUAACCUGGGAAUGGCAUUUGGGACUGCAAGGCUUGAGUGCGGCAGAGGAGACUGGAAUUCCUGGUGUAGCAGUGAAAUGCGUAGAUAUGCGGAGGAACACCGAUGGCGAAGGCAGCCCCCUGGGUUAACACUGACGCUCAUGCACGAAAGCGUGGGGAGCAAACAGG
rnacentral:rRNA from 1 species